UGGGGAAUAUUGCACAAUGGGCGCAAGCCUGAUGCAGCAACGCCGCGUGAGGGACGACGGCCUUCGGGUUGUAAACCUCUUUUAGUAGGGAAGAAGCGAAGUGUUUUACAUGGAGUGACGGUACCUGCAGAAAAAGCACCGGCUAACUACGUGCCAGCAGCCGCGGUAAUACGUAGGGUGCAAGCGUUAUCCGGAAUUAUUGGGCGUAAAGAGCUCGUAGGCGGUCUGUCGCGUCUGCUGUGAAAUCUGGGGGCUCAACCCCCAGCCUGCAGUGGGUACGGGCAGACUAGAGUGCGGUAGGGGAGAUUGGAAUUCCUGGUGUAGCGGUGGAAUGCGCAGAUAUCAGGAGGAACACCGAUGGCGAAGGCAGAUCUCUGGGCCGUAACUGACGCUGAGGAGCGAAAGCAUGGGGAGCGAACA
rnacentral:rRNA from 1 species